GACUUGUGGCAGCCAAGCGUUCAUAGCGACAUUGCUUUUUGAUCCUUUGAUGUCGGCUCUUCCUAUCGUACCGAAGCAGAAUUCGGUGAGCGUUGGAUUGUUCUGCUUCCUCCGUUCUUCGCAUUUCCACUCAGCUAUAACUUGGAGGGUAUGAAAUUGUCUUAUU
rnacentral:ncRNA from 1 species